UGUCAGGAUUCCCAAGAGUGGUC
rnacentral:piRNA from 1 species